rnacentral:lncRNA from 1 species
UUGAUAUAUUCAUAUAUAUAGGUUAUAUAUACGCAAUAAUUUAUUUACCUGAGAAAUUGAACGCCGGCACGAGCGCCGGCGAAUAUACGCAGAACGACCUUUCGCGCUGGAAGACGAAGACACAGAAUAUGCAUUGGAAUUGAUAUAUUCAUAUAUAUAGGUUAUUAAGCUUCAAAAUAAAAUAUUAAAAACAAUAUUUUUAUAUAUAUUAUAUAUAUAUAUAUAUAUAUUGGAUUAUUAUACGACCCCCCCAAACACUUUACAAUAGCCAAUUAUUUAGUUAUAACGGGGCGGACCAGGACAAAAUUUUUAACAAAAAUUUUAGACCUCCUCUUAACCCUUAAAAUCAGGGCGAAGAUUAAAAUAACCUGUCUCCCUCCCAUCCACCAAUGAGCCCCUAAUUUUUUUCCCUUGCUUAUAGAUUUUAAUCUUCUAGCCAAUCCAAUAGCUGUCCAAAUUCGUCAUCCCUUUUUUUAUGGCUUUGCGUCACAAAUGUUUCUUUUUCUUUUUUGUUGGGUAAACAUCCAUGAUGUUAUGAUUUGAGUUUGUAAAACAGGAUUUAUGUUUACUGUUCCUCUUGUGUUGUCACUGACGAUAUUCAUUUGGUUGUUUUUCCAAUUUUUCUUCUUCUAAAUCCUGGAUCAGAUGUGGUUGUAGGAACCAUUAUUGGGAGACUUUUAUUAUGUAUAUGCACAGCUGCAUUGCUUUUCGUAAUAUUCUUUUAUUAUGAAUAUGUGAUUCUGUCGUUUUGUCUUCUUUGGUUAGUUUUUUAGCCUUGGUGGACAUCAAUACCUUGGUCUAACUUCUCAUUUAAUGCAUUCUAAGCUUAUGUCUUAAGAAAAUUACCUGCAAACAGUUUACAAUUUUAUGGAACUUUUACGGUGUUUAAUAAUUUGUUGUAACCUUAAAACUUUCUAAGCUUGCUGGAGAUUUUGUGAAUGAAAUCGAAUUUUUUCCCAACUAUUGAUAAAAUGGAAGAGGUUUAGACCAUAAUAUGUGUGAGAAUCGUGGAGAAUAAGGCAAUGGGUUUGGGAGGGUGGGAUGGUGGGAGAAGGUUGUGAGAGCUUCACAGAAUUUGGGGGAUGAUGGCAUUAAUGAAAUUAAAAUAAACAAAGGGAUAAUAAUUGAGGGAGAAGAGAUGUUAUGUUAACAACCUUUUGAUUUUAAAGAGUUAAGAUGUAGGUUUAAAACUUGUGUAAAAAAUUGGGUCCCCGAUCCGCCCCGUUAAUUAUAAAGCAAAUUUUGUCCCCCCCCCCCCCCCCCUUAACAAAAACCAUUUAGAAUAAAGCUAUGCCUACACCAUAAAUUAGAAGAUCAAUCCAAAAUAUAAUCCAUUAAAAUUGUAAAGUAAUUAGUUAGAGAGAUGCUACAUUUACAACAAUUGGUUUACAAUCAUUUAUAACAAUGCCAAAACGACAUUGUUCCAUUUAGUCAAUCUAUUUGGUGACUAAAUGGAACGACGUCGUUUUGUGUUUAUAUCGACGUCGUUUUGACGUUGUUAUAAAUGGUUGUUGUAAACUAUUGUUGUAAACUUAGCAUUUUUCAAUUAGUUAGGUCAAGUUUGGCAUUAAUUUUUGGAUAAAUGUCACUUACCUUGUCCUGAGAAUCUAUUCUUGUUUAUGAAAUACCACCGACUUCUCUUAUUUCUAAAAUUAUUAUUAAUAUUUUUUUAACACUAAUUUUUUGACAAAAAUAACAAGAUUACCUUUAAAAUUAUGACUUUCAUAUUUAUUUUUGGGGUAAAUUUAAUUGACCUUCCAUAUAUUUAUUUUUUGGAAUUUUUUGACUUUUAUAUAACUUUUUUCCAAAUACAGUCACAUUCACUAUAAUUUCAAAAAUAGUACUGAUUUUUCUUACUUUUAAAACUAAUGUCACGAUUUUUUCUUCAAACUAAUUUUUUUGCAAAAAUAAUAAGAUUGUUUUUUGAUUUAGUGUUUUUAAAUUUUUUUUCUCAAUACACCAUUUAAAAUAAAUAAAAAUUCUCUUUUUUAAAAUAAAAAUAAUAACAAAGUUUAUUACGAAUUGAGUUUGAAUAAUUGAAUCAUAUACAUUGUCUUACGAGUGGUUAAAAACUUAUGAAGUUAGGUAUGAUAAAUAAGUUGAACGAAUAAAACUUGUUCAAGCUUAAUUUGAUUCUAAAACUUAACAAACUUUAAAAUUAUGAUCGAGCUUAAUAUAUUUAUCAAGUGAAUCGAUUCCAAAAAAAUUAUAAUUGAGCACAUGACAAGCGAGAUAAAGUAGCUUAAAUUAUUCAAACAUUACAAAUUUGUCGAACCGAGCAGUAAAUUGUUCAAAUUUAAUUUGAAAGCUUCACGAGCGCAAACAACAUGUUCAAACUUGAUUUGUUUAUAUAACAAACUAAUCUCAAAUAAACUUUUAACAAGCUGAGCAAUCUCAGUAAUCUCAAACCUUGCAUAAAUCUGUCCCAAACACAACCUUAAAGUAAAGCACAUUCCUCUUUAUUUCACAUGCGAAUUCUGCUUGAAGGCACAUAACAAAA